CCAGUAGACUGAGUAGGCGCGUAGUCUUCGAUUCUAUCUUUUCUCCCUUCCUAAUUUUACACGUCCAGUCGAAUCGACAAACAACAAAAUGACCACCACAUCUCUCUCAACUCAGGGUUUUGAUUUUCCAUAUUAAUCAAAUCACAUAUUUUCGUUUCGUUUGCAUCUGUUUUAGGGUUGAACAAUUUGGUUAGUUUUUUUUGUUUCCUGUUUUCAUGGCCGAGUUGACUCAGGCCGAGGUGGUCUACUCGCCUCGUGCUUCUAUUCAAGUAUGGAGAACGCUGUUGAACUGGCUAGCUUUCUUCUUCCAGAUCUUCUCUAAGAUUUUAAGAGUUCUUAAUUACCAUCCGCUGCUCUCUUCUUCGACUUCCGCUCCAACUCACGCUUUCAAGCCAUUGCCAGCUGUCGAGCUGUCAGAGUCUGAUUUUCCGGCCACCGUGGAGAUUGCUGGGAUCAGAGACUCCGUUGAUAACGUGGCUACUGAUGGAAGUGUCCAGAAACUCACGGUAGUUCUUGAUUUGGAUGAAACUUUAGUAUGUGCAUAUGAGACAUCUACCCUGCCUGUUUCUCUUUGCACUCAAGCAACAGAAGCUGGUGUGAAGUGGUUUGAGCUGGAAUGCUAUUCUUCAGACAAGGAAAAUGAAGGAAAGCCUAAGGUCAAUUAUGUUACAGUGUUUGAGCGUCCAGGAUUGCAUGAGUUCUUAAAACAAGUUAGUGAAUUUGCAGAUCUUAUACUGUUUACUGCUGGUCUUGAAGGCUAUGCUAGACCACUUGUUGACAGAAUAGAUGAAAAAAAUCUAUUUAGUCUUCGGCUUUAUCGAUCAUCAACAAUUAGCACGGAAUAUCGGGAACAUGUUAAGGAUCUGUCCUGCCUAUCAAAAGAUCUAUGUCGUACUGUUAUUGUUGAUAACAAUCCGUUCAGUUUCUUGUUGCAACCUCUAAAUGGAAUCCCAUGCAUUUCAUUUUCAGCUGGGCAACCACAUGACACACAGCUUCUCAGUGUACUUCUGCCACUUCUCAAGCAACUCUCUCUGCAAAAAGAUGUGAGACCUCUGCUCUAUGAAAAAUUUCACAUGCCUGAAUGGUUUCAACAGCAGGGAAUCCCUUCUUCUAGAUUUGUAGAAUGAAGAUUCUAUGAAGGCAGCCGAUCUCCUUGUACAAUUCCCUUCAGAUUUUUCUUGUGGCAGCAUCUCAUCAUUUGACUCAAUGACUUCUCGUAUAGCAUUAAUCUGCAUACUGGAGGCAUUGGCAGAAGCGAAAGCUCACUUAAAAAUAUCUGCUGCCUCUCCUGCUGCCUCUGUGAAUCAGUGGCCCGGCGUCAUCUGGCUGCUUUUGUGGCCAGGAAGUUUGAGGAUCAGAAUGUUACGGUUCAGCCAAAACGAGUUGAAGAAAGUUACAGUAGAGAGAGAAGAGAGGGAGACGAGAGAAAUUAAAGUUUAUGCAACUAGAGAGAAGGAAUUUUGAAAAAAAAUCAUCCCACUAAGCAUGAGACUUUUUCGUUUCAACUUGCGAUAAACUUUGCUUCUCCUAUAAUCAUGACAAAACUCCCCACUUAGCUUCCUUGUCCUCGAGGAAGAAAGUUGGAAAUCUCCAUCUCAUGCCAUCAGCGAAUUCCCACAUAGCUGUGUCAGCUGGUUCUCCUUGCUACUGUAUGAGGAACUUAACGGUUGGUGCAUCGGCUUUCUUAACUAGCUUCUUGACCAGAAUUGUAUGCAGCUUCCUCUAGGUAGUUCGCUUAUGUGGAGGUAGCAAUGGAGAAGCAUGUACCUGAGCAUAAACAGGCUUCAUGAGAGAGACAUGAAAAACAUCAUGGAUUUGUGCUUCAGGUGGCAACUUGAGCCUGUAUGCAACCUUACCUAUCACGUCUUGAACAAAAGGGCCAAAAUAUUUUGGUUUGCUUGUACGGUUGCAGCUUAACAUAUAUCCAAUCCCCAAUCUGAAACUGUCUAUCAAACCUUUUUCGGUCUUCCCAGGACUUCAUUUGAUGUUGAGCUUUUUCCAAAUUGUGCUUAAGAAUCUGCAAGGUUUCUUCCCUUGUUCUCAGCCUAUUAUCCAUCGCUUCAAUCUUGGAGUUCUUCAGAAAGAAUAGUAUUAUAUAUACAAAUAAUGAUA